ACUUCAGUUGUGGGGACCGGAAGUGCUGAACCUGAAAACUGCGGCCAUGAUUGAAGUGGCUGAGCCGUGUAUUGAUUGAAGCAAUUGAGACAGCGAUGGUGUGAAUAAGGGACAAAGGGACUUUAUCCUCAAAAAUGUUGUUAUGAAGCUGAAGGAUGAACUGUUCAGGUCUGUCUGUUUGCUGCGCUGCUGUGCUGGAGAGGAGACGACAACCAUGACUGGAGAGGAGGGGCUGCUGCGCCUGUGCUGGGACUCUGGGCGAGCGAGUUUGCAGAAGCGCGUGUGCGAGAAGUAGGCAACAUGGGUGUAGCAGAUAUAAAGACAGCUAACACGAUCCGGAGCUGUUGCCAAAGGCCAGCACCAAACCGGACAAGAUCAUCACUUAUUUCAUGAAGAACUGCAUUUGCACCAUGAGCACGAAUUCACUCACUAAAGGACUUGUGUAUGUGUUUUGUGUUACGUGUGGGUGUAUAAGGAACGGGACUUUUUGGUUGCGGGUCAAACCCGGGGAUUAUAAGCAAAGUAAUACAUGCCGCUGUAUUGCUUUCUAUCAUUAUUGUUUACUGUUUGUUUUGCCGUCAGGCUUUGGAAAAACAAAGAUCAUUAAACACCAUUGCACCUGAA